AUUGAACGCUGGCGGCAGGCCUAACACAUGCAAGUCGAGCGGAUGAAGGGAGCUUGCUCCUGGAUUCAGCGGCGGACGGGUGAGUAAUGCCUAGGAAUCUGCCUGGUAGUGGGGGACAACGUUUCGAAAGGAACGCUAAUACCGCAUACGUCCUACGGGAGAAAGCAGGGGACCUUCGGGCCUUGCGCUAUCAGAUGAGCCUAGGUCGGAUUAGCGAGUUGGUGAGGUAAAGGCUCACCAAGGCGACGAUCCGUAACUGGUCUGAGAGGAUGAUCAGUCACACUGGAACUGAGACACGGUCCAGGCUCCGACGGGAGGCAGCAGUGGGGAAUAUUGGACAAUGGGCGAAAGCCUGAUCCAGCCAUGCCGCGUGUGUGAAGAAGGUCUUCGGAUUGUAAAGCACUUUAAGUUGGGAGGAAGGGUUGUAGAUUAAUACUCUGCAAUUUUGACGUUACCGACAGAAUAAGCACCGGCUGACUCUGUGCCAGCCGCCGCGGUAA
rnacentral:rRNA from 1 species